ACGAACGCUGGCGGCAGGCUUAACACAUGCAAGUCGAACGCCCCGCAAGGGGAGUGGCAGACGGGUGAGUAACGCGUGGGAAUCUACCCAGAUCUUCGGAACAACUGAGGGAAACUUCAGCUAAUACCGGAUACGCCCUACGGGGGAAAGAUUUAUCGGUUCUGGAUGAGCCCGCGUAAGAUUAGCUAGUUGGUGGGGUAAUGGCCUACCAAGGCGACGAUCUUUAGCUGGUCUGAGAGGAUGAUCAGCCACACUGGGACUGAGACACGGCCCAGACUCCUACGGGAGGCAGCAGUGGGGAAUAUUGGACAAUGGGCGAAAGCCUGAUCCAGCCAUGCCGCGUGAGUGAUGAAGGCCUUAGGGUUGUAAAGCUCUUUCAGUAGGGAAGAUAAUGACGGUACCUACAGAAGAAGCCCCGGCUAACUUCGUGCCAGCAGCCGCGGUAAUU
rnacentral:rRNA from 1 species